GGGUUUUAACUGAUCUAUAGUAAGUGUGAGGGGUUCCCAAAGUGUUCAAUUUUGAACUGUGGAGGAGAGUAAUGCUCUCUACUAGAAAGGAGAGGGCAAGGCUGGUGCCAGCCGCCGCGGUAAAACCAGCUCUUCAAGUGGUCGGGAUAAUUAUUGGGCUUAAAGUGUCCGUAGCCGGUUUAGUAAGUUCCUGGUAAAAUCGGGUAGCUUAACUAUCUAUAUGCUAGGAAUACUGCUAUACUAGAGGGCGGGAGAGGUCUGAGGUACUACAGGGGUAGGGGUGAAAUCUUAUAAUCCUUGUAGGACCACCAGUGGCGAAGGCGUCAGACUGGAACGCGCCUGACGGUGAGGGACGAAAGCCAGGGGAGCGAACCGGAUUAGAUACCCGGGUAGUCCUGGCCGUAAACGAUGCAUACUAGGUGAUGGCACGGCCAUGAGCCGUGUCGGUGCCGUAGGGAAACCGUUAAGUGUGCCGCCUGGAAAGUACGGUCGCAAGGCUAAAAUUUAAAGGAAUUGGCGGGGGAGCACCACAGGGGGUGAAGCCUGCGGUUCAAUUGGACUCAACGCCGGAAAACUUACCAGGGGAGACAGCAGAAUGACGGUCAGGUUGACAACCUUACUUAACAGGCUGAGAAGGAGGUGCAUGCCCGUCGCCAGUUCGUGCCGUGAGGUAUCUUGUUAAGUCAGGAAACGAAGGAUUCCGCACUUUAUUUGCCACCAGGAAGUCACGCUUCGUUGGGAACCUAAAGGGACCGCCGUCGAUAAGCGGAGGAGGACCGGGAAGGCAGGUAAUAUGCCCGAACCCCUGGGCUACACCGGGCUGCAAUGGUAUGAACAAUGGGGUUGUGACUCCGAAGGGAAAACCAAACCGAAAUCAUAUCUCAGUGGAAUUGCGGCUGUAACCCGGCCGACAUGACGCGGAUCCCUAAGUAUCGUGUGUCAUCAUCGCACGGUGAUACCGCUCUGCUCUGGCACACCGGAAGGCGGAAUUCGUAACCUGGAGGACUAGUCCUUUAUGGAGGAUAAUCUGAGCUGGCAUCUGCACGGUGUCUUUCAGAAAGGUUCGCCCGAUCCAGAGAGCUCAUCUGCGACGACGUAUA
rnacentral:rRNA from 1 species